rnacentral:misc_RNA from 1 species
GUUGAAGAACGUAGCGAAAUGCGAUAAGUAGUGUGAAUUGCAGAAUUCAGUGAAUCAUCGAAUCUUUGAACGCACAUUGCGCCCCAUGGUAUUCCGUGGGGCAUGCCUGUUCGAGCGUCAUUUACCCCCUCAAGCUCCGCUUGGUGUUGGGCGUCUGUCCCGCUUCGCGCGCGGACUCGCCCCAAAGGUAUUGGCAGCGGUCGUGCCAGCUUCUCGCGCAGCACAUUGCGCUUCUCGAGGCACCGGUGGGCCCGCGUCCAUCAAGCUCACCCCCCCAGUUUGACCUCGGAUCAGGUAGGGAUACCCGCUGAACUUAAGCAUAUCAAUAAGCGGAGGA